UAUCAGCAUUGAGCAAGAACGUUGUAUUUUGUGUUGAUUUUCUAGACAAUGAAAUUUGGAAGGUAUCAAUCCCAAGCCCGAGAGGUAUAAGUGUUGUUCCAGAAAACUGCAUUCCUAGGAACAAUUUGGUUAUUUGCAGUAGACGGUGUAAUACUAUUUUUGGAUUAAACAAGGAAAAUGGAAGCGACAAACAAAUUUUAUUAUCUGAAGGUAAAAUAAAAUUGCCAAGGUAUAUUACAUGCAACAACAAGGACAGAUUGUUAUGCAUACUAGUUGCGACAGAAAACGACAAAGACAAAGAAGAGACAGUGUCAUGUGUUGAAGUCAGAGCUCCACCUUCAAAUUAAUAAAGCCAAGAUAGUACAAAAAAAAA
rnacentral:lncRNA from 1 species